GACGAACGCUGGCGGCGUGCCUAAUACAUGCAAGUUGAGCGAUGAAGAUUGGUGCUUGCACCUAUUUGAAGAGCAGCGGACGGGUGAGUAACGCGUGGGGAAUCUGCCUUUGAGCGGGGGACAACAUUUGGAAACGAAUGCUAAUACCGCAUAAUAACUUUAAACAUAAGUUUUAAGUUUGAAAGAUGCAAUUCCAUCACUCAAAGAUGAACCCGCAUUGUAUUAGCUAGUUGGUGAGGUAAAGGCUCACCAAGGCGAUGAUACAUAGCCGACCUGCGCGGGUGAUCGGCCACAUUGGGACUGAGCCACGGCCCAACCUCCUACGGGAGGCAGCAGUAGGGGAUCUUCGGCCAUGGACGAAAGUCUGACCGAGCAACGCCGCGUGAGUGAAGAAGGUCUUCGGAUCGGAAAACUCUGUUGGUAGAGAAGAACGUUGGUGAGAGUGGAAAGCUCAUCAAGUGACGGUAACUACCCAGAAAGGGACGGCUAACUACGUG
rnacentral:rRNA from 1 species